rnacentral:rRNA from 1 species
CUGAGUAUUAGGCAAAUCCGGUACUCGUUAAGGCUGAGCUGUGAUGGGGAGAAGACAUUGUGUCUUCGAGUCGUUGAUUUCACACUGCCGAGAAAAGCCUCUAGAUAGAAAAUAGGUGCCCGUACCGCAAACCGACACAGGUAGUCAAGAUGAGAAUUCUAAGGUGAGCGAGCGAACUCUCGUUAAGGAACUCGGCAAAAUGACCCCGUAACUUCGGGAGAAGGGGUGCUCUUUAGGGUUAACGCCCAGAAGAGCCGCAGUGAAUAGGCCCAAGCGACUGUUUAUCAAAAACACAGGUCUCUGCUAAACCGUAAGGUGAUGUAUAGGGGCUGACGCCUGCCCGGUGCUGGAAGGUUAAGAGGAGUGGUUAGCUUCUGCGAAGCUACGAAUCGAAGCCCCAGUAAACGGCGGCCGUAACUAUAACGGUCCUAAGGUAGCGAAAUUCCUUGUCGGGUAAGUUCCGACCCGCACGAAAGGCGUAACGAUUUGGGCACUGUCUCAACGAGAGACUCGGUGAAAUCAUAGUACCUGUGAAGAUGCAGGUUACCCGCGACAGGACGGAAAGACCCCGUGGAGCUUUACUGUAGCCUGAUAUUGAAAUUCGGCACAGCUUGUACAGGAUAGGUAGGAGCCUUUGAAACGUGAGCGCUAGCUUACGUGGAGGCGCUGGUGGGAUACUACCCUAGCUGUGUUGGCUUUCUAACCCGCACCACUUAUCGUGGUGGGAGACAGUGUCAGGCGGGCAGUUUGACUGGGGCGGUCGCCUCCUAAAAGGUAACGGAGGCGCUCAAAGGUUCCCUCAGAAUGGUUGGAAAUCAUUCAUAGAGUGUAAAGGCAUAAGGGAGCUUGA